rnacentral:rRNA from 1 species
GCAAGUCGAGCGGACAGAUGGGAGCUUGCUCCCUGAUGUUAGCGGCGGACGGGUGAGUAACACGUGGGUAACCUGCCUGUAAGACUGGGAUAACUCCGGGAAACCGGGGCUAAUACCGGAUGGUUGUUUGAACCGCAUGGUUCAAACAUAAAAGGUGGCUUCGGCUACCACUUACAGAUGGACCCGCGGCGCAGUAGCUAGUUGGUGAGGUAACGGCUCACCAAGGCAACGAUGCGUAGCCGACCUGAGAGGGUGAUCGGCCACACUGGGACUGAGACACGGCCCAGACUCCUACGGGAGGCAGCAGUAGGGAAUCUUCCGCAAUGGACGAAAGUCUGACGGAGCAACGCCGCGUGAGUGAUGAAGGUUUUCGGAUCGUAAAGCUCUGUUGUUAGGGAAGAACAAGUACCGUUCGAAUAGGGCGGUACCUUGACGGUACCUAACCAGAAAGCCACGGCUAACUACGUGCCAGCAGCCGCGGUAAUACGUAGGUGGCAAGCGUUGUCCGGAAUUAUUGGGCGUAAAGGGCUCGCAGGCGGUUUCUUAAGUCUGAUGUGAAAGCCCCCGGCUCAACCGGGGAGGGUCAUUGGAAACUGGGGAACUUGAGUGCAGAAGAGGAGAGUGGAAUUCCACGUGUAGCGGUGAAAUGCGUAGAGAUGUGGAGGAACACCAGUGGCGAAGGCGACUCUCUGGUCUGUAACUGACGCUCAGGAGCGAAAGCGUGGGGAGCGAACAGGAUUAUAUACCCUGGUAGUCCACGCCAUAAACGAUGAGUGCUAAGUGUUAGGGGGUUUCCGCCCCUUAGUGCU